rnacentral:rRNA from 1 species
UACGUAGGGUGCAAGCGUUAUCCGGAAUUAUUGGGCGUAAAGAGCUCGUAGGCGGUUUGUCGCGUCUGCUGUGAAAUCCCGAGGCUCAACUUCGGGCUUGCAGUGGGUACGGGCAGACUAGAGUGCGGUAGGGGAGAUUGGAAUUCCUGGUGUAGCGGUGGAAUGCGCAGAUAUCAGGAGGAACACCGAUGGCGAAGGCAGAUCUCUGGGCCGUAACUGACGCUGAGGAGCGAAAGGGUGGGGAGCAAACGGG